UACGUAGGGGGCAAGCGUUGUCCGGAAUCAUUGGGCGUAAAGAGCGUGUAGGCGGCCCGGUAAGUCCGCUGUGAAAGUCCAGGGCUCAACCCUGGGAUGCCGGUGGAUACUGUCGGGCUCGAGUCCAGAAGAGGCGAGUGGAAUUCCUGGUGUAGCGGUGAAAUGCGCAGAUAGUCAAGGAGGAACACCAAUAGGCGAGGCAGCUCAGCUGGGACGUGACUGACGCUGAGACGCGAAAGCGUGGGGAGCGAACAGGAUA
rnacentral:rRNA from 1 species